rnacentral:rRNA from 1 species
CACCUGAUUGAUUUUGGUCGCCAACGAGUGGCGGACGGGUGAGUAACACGUAGGUAACCUGCCCAGAAGCGGGGGACAACAUUUGGAAACAGAUGCUAAUACCGCAUAACAGCGUUGUUCGCAUGAACAACGCUUAAAAGAUGGCUUCUCGCUAUCACUUCUGGAUGGACCUGCGGUGCAUUAGCUUGUUGGUGGGGUAACGGCCUACCAAGGCGAUGAUGCAUAGCCGAGUUGAGAGACUGAUCGGCCACAAUGGGACUGAGACACGGCCCAUACUCCUACGGGAGGCAGCAGUAGGGAAUCUUCCACAAUGGGCGCAAGCCUGAUGGAGCAACACCGCGUGAGUGAAGAAGGGUUUCGGCUCGUAAAGCUCUGUUGUUAAAGAAGAACACGUAUGAGAGUAACUGUUCAUACGUUGACGGUAUUUAACCAGAAAGUCACGGCUAACUACGUGCCAGCAGCCGCGGUAAUACGUAGGUGGCAAGCGUUAUCCGGAUUUAUUGGGCGUAAAGAGAGUGCAGGCGGUUUUCUAAGUCUGAUGUGAAAGCCUUCGGCUUAACCGGAGAAGUGCAUCGGAAACUGGAUAACUUGAGUGCAGAAGAGGGUAGUGGAACUCCAUGUGUAGCGGUGGAAUGCGUAGAUAUAUGGAAGAACACCAGUGGCGAAGGCGGCUACCUGGUCUGCAACUGACGCUGAGACUCGAAAGCAUGGGUAGCGAACAGGAUUAGAUACCCUGGUAGUCCAUGCCGUAAACGAUGAGUGCUAGGUGUUGGAGGGUUUCCGCCCUUCAGUGCCGGAGCUAACGCAUUAAGCACUCCGCCUGGGGAGUACGACCGCAAGGUUGAAACUCAAAGGAAUUGACGGGGGCCCGCACAAGCGGUGGAGCAUGUGGUUUAAUUCGAAGCUACGCGAAGAACCUUACCAGGUCUUGACAUCUUGCGCCAACCCUAGAGAUAGGGCGUUUCCUUCGGGAACGCAAUGACAGGUGGUGCAUGGUCGUCGUCAGCUCGUGUCGUGAGAUGUUGGGUUAAGUCCCGCAACGAGCGCAACCCUUGUUACUAGUUGCCAGCAUUAAGUUGGGCACUCUAGUGAGACUGCCGGUGACAAACCGGAGGAAGGUGGGGACGACGUCAGAUCAUCAUGCCCCUUAUGACCUGGGCUACACACGUGCUACAAUGGACGGUACAACGAGUCGCGAACUCGCGAGGGCAAGCAAAUCUCUUAAAACCGUUCUCAGUUCGGACUGCAGGCUGCAACUCGCCUGCACGAAGUCGGAAUCGCUAGUAAUCGCGGAUCAGCAUGCCGCGGUGAAUACGUUCCCGGGCCUUGUACACACCGCCCGUCACACCAUGAGAGUUUGUAACACCCAAAAGGUA